UACAGAGGUCUCAAGCGUUGUUCGGAUUCAUUGGGCGUAAAGGGGUGCGUAGGCGGCGCGGUAAGUCGGGUGUGAAAUCUCGGAGCUUAACUCCGAAACUGCAUUCGAUACUGCCGUGCUUGAGGACUGGAGAGGAGACUGGAAUUUACGGUGUAGCGGUGAAAUGCGUAGAUAUCGUAAGGAAGACCAGUGGCGAAGGCGGGGUCUCUGGACAGUUCCUGACGCUGAGGCACGAAGGCCAGGGGGAGCAAACGGGG
rnacentral:rRNA from 1 species